UUCAGACUAAAAGAGAAAAUUAAAUGAGUAGAGGGAAAGAGAGAAAAUUCUAUACCUCUUUUCUGGUAACCGUCAGGCUGCCAACAGUACCACCACCAAUCUCAGACCUGCUGCCAGGAGAAAUGCUACCCACAGGCUCCGGGGGACAUGGUGGGGCUGCCUGGACUCUGCUCUGACAAAUGCUACCCUGGCAGAAACAGCAGGACCAAGGCCAACUUUCACUAUCAAUGCAAAAGCAGAAAUUCUGAACCCCAGUCUUAACUCCGUAGACUGCAAGCCAUCAUCCCACAGCAUGAACAGCUUGAAACAUGAAUCUGCCUGAUGACGCUGAGAGAAAACAAAAGCAAUUACACUUUGGGUAACUCUACCUGAUUCAGCUCCAGCCACUGCUGUCUCUCCAGGCUCUCUUUAUAUAAUCUGUGUCUCUGUUAGUCUGCUGUGCCCUGCAUUUCACUGUCAUCUGUAUAAUUAACACAACCCCCCUCUGCUUUCUAAUAAAGAG